rnacentral:rRNA from 1 species
AUUGAACGCUGGCGGCAGGCCUAGCACAUGCAAGUCGAGCGGUAGAGAGAAGCUUGCUUCUCUUGAGAGCGGCGGACGGGUGAGUAAUGCCUAGGAAUCUGCCUGGUAGUGGGGGAUAACGUUCGGAAACGGACGCUAAUACCGCAUACGUCCUACGGGAGAAAGCAGGGGACCUUCGGGCCUUGCGCUAUCAGAUGAGCCUAGGUCGGAUUAGCUAGUUGGUGGGGUAAUGGCUCACCAAGGCGACGAUCCGUAACUGGUCUGAGAGGAUGAUCAGUCACACUGGAACUGAGACACGGUCCAGACUCCUACGGGAGGCAGCAGUGGGGAAUAUUGGACAAUGGGCGAAAGCCUGAUCCAGCCAUGCCGCGUGUGUGAAGAAGGUCUUCGGAUUGUAAAGCACUUUAAGUUGGGAGGAAGGGCAGUAAAUUAAUACUUUGCUGUUUUGACGUUACCGACAGAAUAAGCACCGGCUAACUCUGUG